rnacentral:rRNA from 1 species
GUCCACGCCGUAAACGAUGGAUACUAGCUGUUGGGCGCAAGUUCAGUGGCUAAGCGAAAGUGAUAAGUAUCCCACCUGGGGAGUACGUUCGCAAGAAUGAAACUCAAAGGAAUUGACGGGGGCCCCGCACAAGCGGUGGAGCAUGUGGUUUAAUUCGAUGAUACGCGAGGAACCUUACCAAGGCUUAAAUGUAGAUUGACAGGACUGGAAACAGUUUUUUCUUCGGACAAUUUACAAGGUGCUGCAUGGUUGUCGU